rnacentral:rRNA from 1 species
CCUACGGGUGGCUGCAGUGAGGAAUAUUGGUCAAUGGACGAGAGUCUGAACCAGCCAAGUAGUGUGAAGGAUGACUGCCCUAUGGGUUGUAAACUUCUUUUAUAUGGGAAUAAAACGUUCCACGUGUGGGAUUUUGUAUGUACCAUAUGAAUAAGGAUCGGCUAACUCCGUGCCAGCAGCCGCGGUAAUACGGAGGAUCCGAGCGUUAUCCGGCUUUAUUGGGUUUAAAGGGAGCGUAGGUGGAUUGUUAAGUCAGUUGUGAAAGUUUGCGGCUCAACCGUAAAAUUGCAGUUGAAACUGGCAGUCUUGAGUACAGUAGAGGUGGGCGGAAGUCGUGGUGUAGCGGUGAAAUGCUUAGAUAUCACGAAGAACUCCGAUUGCGAAGGCAGUUCACUGGACUGCAACUGACACUGAGGCUCGAAAGUGUGGGUAUCAAACAGGAUUAGAUACCCCAGUAGUC